UCUUUUCUCCGUCUGGUUCAGACGUAAACAGUUGGAGAGAGAGAGAGAGAGAGAGAGAGAGAGAGAGAGAAAUUUCGGGGCGAUUUCCGGCUUCCUAGCCUUCGACUGCGUUGCCGCUUGCUAUCCAGAGUGUCAAAUUCAAUGUUCAAAUCACAGAUCCAACUAGAUCGAUUAAAGCAACAGUCUUUCCUUUCCUGAGGUUGCAGGACAAUUUUAUGCAAUUACAGCAUCCUAAAUGGCACCAAAUGCAACUGGCAUCCCAAAUGGCACCAAAUGCAACUGGUGAAGCCAGCAACAACUUCCACUCCCGUUGCUCCACAACUUAGCUGAAUCCAAAAAGUGCCACAUGACAUUUAAGGCCUACAUGUGCAAAACCUAUGCAGCAAUCGGCAAGUGCAGAUUCAACGUCCACUCAAUCUCCAGCUAAGGCACUGUCAAGGAUUUGUGACCAAUUUUCAAGCGGCCAAAUAGACAAAAUUUCAGUAUUCCGGAGGGCAUGCUGUCCGCUUUUUGGUCACAAGAGCACAUGAAAAUGGAUUCUUUUGGAGCUGCAGACGCAUCAAUGCUUCUCAAUACAAAGAGCAGAUGAAGAGCUUGCAGGAGAGGAAGGAGGGGUUUAAUAUAACUACUGCUAUCUAUGACUAUUGCGAGCUUUACUGGUGUUAUGCUCCUUCAGCGUCUAUAAAUAGACUGCGCACUAUGUGGUCUGUAUGUAAAUCAUCUAAUCCUUUUGCUACUUUGAUCAAUCUAUGUAAUAUAUAUUUCUACUUGUUUC